GACGAACGCUGGCGGCGUGCUUAACACAUGCAAGUCGAACGGAAAGGCCCCUUUGUGGGUACUCGAGUGGCGAACGGGGAAGUAACACGUGAGUAACGUUCCCUUGACUUCGGGAUAACUUCAGGUAACGGGGGCUAAUACCGGAUAGGAAUCCUUUCUUCAUGGGGGGGGUUGGAAAGCUUCGGCGGUUUUGGCUGGACUCGCGGCUUAUCAGCUUGUUGGUGGGGUAGUGGCUUACCGAGGCGUUUUCGGGUAGCCGGCCUGCGUGGGCGACCGGCCACCUUGGGACUGAGAGAAGGCCCAGACACCGACGGGAGGCAGAAGUGGGGAAUAUUGCAGAAUGGGCGGCAGGCUGAUGAAGAAACGCCGCGGGCGGGAUGACGGCCUUAGGGUUGUAAACCGCUUUCAGCAGGGGCGAAGCUUGUGGUGACGGUACCUGAAGAAGAAGCACCGGCUAACUACGUG
rnacentral:rRNA from 1 species